AUGAACGCUGGCGGCGUGCCUAAUACCUGCAAGUCGAGCGAACAGAUGAGGAGCUUGCUCCUCUGACGUUAGCGGCGGACGGGUGAGUAACACGUGGAUAACCUACCUAUAAGACUAGGAUAACUUCGGGAAACCGGAGCUAAUACCGGAUAAUAUAUUGAACCGCAUGGUUCAAUAGUGAAAGACGGUUUUGCUGUCACUUAUAGAUGGAUCCGCGCCGCAUUAGCUAGUUGGUAAGGUAACGGCUUACCAAGGCAACGAUGCGUAGCCGACCUGAGAGGGUGAUCGGCCACACUGGAACUGAGACACGGUCCAGACUCCUACGGGAGGCAGCAGUAGGGAAUCUUCCGCAAUGGGCGAAAGCCUGACGGAGCAACGCCGCGUGAGUGAUGAAGGUCUUCGGAUCGUAAAACUCUGUUAUUAGGGAAGAACAAAUGUGUAAGUAACUAUGCACGUCUUGACGGUACCUAAUCAGAAAGCCACGGCUAACUACGUG
rnacentral:rRNA from 1 species